UGUGUGUGUGUGUGUGUGUGUGUGAGAGAGAGAGAGAGUUUAAAUCCAGCUUGGGCUACAUGAAAUCGUGAAAUCCUGUUUCAGAACAAACCAACAAAAUCCUUAAAAAUAACAAGGAGAAAGAAAUUCAAUCAGCUACUUUGAACUCCAGUUUUCACUGAGGAAAGCCAAGCCCAUGAGAGCAAUGUCACAUAUCAAUGUCACAUAUCCAUUGCCUUGAUUUGUGCCUUAAAGCUCAAACACUUGUGUCACAGAAUCAGAGA
rnacentral:lncRNA from 1 species